UCCCAGGUGGUCUAGUGGUUAGGAUUCGUGGCUCUCACCCACGCGGCCCGGGUUCGAUUUCCGGUCUGGGAA
rnacentral:tRNA from 1 species